rnacentral:rRNA from 1 species
UACGUAGGCGGAAAAUUAAGUCAGUAGUGAAAUCCUGCAGCUUAACUGUAGAACUGUUAUUGAUACUGGUUUUCUUGAAUAUAGUUGAGGUAGGCGGAAUGUGUAAUGUAGCGGUGAAAUGCUUAGAUAUUACACAGAACACCGAUUGCGAAGGCAGCUUCCUAAGCUAUGAUUGACGCUGAGGUACGAAAGCGUGGGGAGCGAACAGGAUUAGAUACCCUGGUAGUCC